UUUUUUUUGUAUUUUCUUUCCUAAUGCAUUAGCCUUUGUAGUAUAUAUGUUCAAUUCUCUUUUAUAUAAAAUAUAAUAAAAAAGGUGGAACAGGAUUAUUAAGCAUGUAAUGCUUUUCCUUCCUAAAUACCCGCAACUCUUAAAGUGUUCAAGUCAUUUCAACAUUUCCUGGUCCCAUAAUAAAAUUUCGUAAUUUAUUUCUGUAUUGAUACAACCCUACUACUAAAUCAGUAAACCCGGUCCUUUCCUUUGAGCGUCCUAGGGACAAAUCGGUAAGCAAAAACCUCUAAAUAGUUUUCAAACUUUAGUAACUCACAUAAUACCCUCAAAGUAAGUGUACUAAGACUAUUGGGAUUACCGGUCAUCAUUUACUUAUCUAAUGUACGCUCUAUAAACCGAAAAAUUAUUGGAAUAUAAAAAUAGAAUCGAAAGUUGAAAACUAAAUUUACUACCUUAACGUAGGUCGAUAUCAUCUACAAAACGUUAGGGAAUCAUCUUAAUCCAUUUUUUACAUAAAAAAAGGAAUGUUAUUUUAGGAAUAGAUACCAACAUUAAGGUAGUAUUACGAAUGCCUCCUAAAAUUGAAUCAUAUAAUUCCAUUCGUUCGACCUUACCAAGCGUUAAAUGCAUUUAAACCAAAACCUUAAAGACUUUAGGAUCGGCACAAUCACGAGCGCAAUGGUAAAGAUGAAAAAACUCUUCAAUACAGUCUUCAGACUUGUCGCCCUGCUCUACCUUCUUUGUAACACGGGCAGUACAUUCUUCAAAAUGGUGUUUCACUUCCUUGCAAUCUGGUGCAUCCAUGCAUUCUAAAAAAUGUUAGCAAGAAACAGUACACCCAUUCAAAUAAGCGAACCUUGAGUCAUUUUUUCCAAAGGAUCAGUAAUUUCUUCUUCUUCUUCUUCUUCUUCUUCCUCUUCCCCUCCUUCUUGGGGUUCCUCAGCUUCUUCCUUUGGAGGUUCCUCAGGUUCCUUGGCCUCCUUUCCUUCCUUUUCUUCAGGUUGAGGGGGUUCAGUCUUUACUUCUUCAGGGGGUUGAAUGGUUUCUGAACAAUCCCAUGAUUAAUACGAAUUUUAUCAAAAUCAACGCUUCAAUACUUACCCUUUUUCUCCUCUUUUUCAUCGGCCCCUUUACCCUGUGCUCCUUUGGCAUCAUCUGCCGAGACAAUAGGUUCUACCACAUUAUUAGCAUCACUUCAAUAACGCACUAUAGAACGUCUACAAAAACGGUUCAUAACAGAUACUGUUAUACCAUACGAACAUUGGCUUUCCAAAAAAAAACAGUAGCGUAAUUACUUACCUUGAGUCUUGAGACUUAGGUUGGCAUCUCUUGCCCCGGUAGAGUCGGUUGUCUUGGGAGAUGGUUCAUCGGGACUCUGGGUCUCAAAGUUCUUUUUUGAAGGAGUAUUCUCUUCAAAUUGCUUUCGAUCUUCCUUAAUCAAUUCAUCCGCUUCGGCAGAAAUCGGGGUGAAAGCUGAAGUAAACAAAUUUUUCCAAAACGACAUUACGAAUUCAAAAUCUUUAAUAAAGAGAAAGUCAGAUAA